rnacentral:rRNA from 1 species
UGCGUGCCUAAUACAUGCAAGUCGAGCGAACAGACGAGGAGCUUGCUCCUCUGACGUUAGCGGCGGACGGGUGAGUAACACGUGGAUAACCUACCUAUAAGACUGGGAUAACUUCGGGAAACCGGAGCUAAUACCGGAUAAUAUAUUGAACCGCAUGGUUCAAUAGUGAAAGACGGUUUUGCUGUCACUUAUAGAUGGAUCCGCGCCGCAUUAGCUAGUUGGUAAGGUAACGGCUUACCAAGGCAACGAUGCGUAGCCGACCUGAGAGGGUGAUCGGCCACACUGGAACUGAGACACGGUCCAGACUCCUACGGGAGGCAGCAGUAGGGAAUCUUCCGCAAUGGGCGAAAGCCUGACGGAGCAACGCCGCGUGAGUGAUGAAGGUCUUCGGAUCGUAAAACUCUGUUAUUAGGGA